rnacentral:lncRNA from 1 species
GGCAGGAGAAAUGAAGGAAAGCAGUUGGACUUUUUCAUCGAUGAGAUUGCUUUUAGAAGAGCAGAAGAGCAGUUCAAUCUGAAGCCUGCCAUCAUAGUUGAAAAGUUAAUUUUCAGUCUCAGUGGAAGCUGGACAUCAAAUUGGGCCUUCGAAGCUGAGGACUUAACUCACAGAUAGCCUUGAAGUGGAAUGACUGCAACAGUUUCUGCAGAAAAAGGCAGGUGGCAGUGCUAUAUUAGGUAGUUUUCCAAUCAUGUAGACAGGCAGCGACACUCUCCUAGACCUAUUAGUUCAACACCUCUUGAGCAGUUCACGCACUUAUGAGAGACUCUUGAUAAGACAGAUCCAUGUACAAAGGCAAUUUCACCCAUCCUCAUGCCUCAUAUAGUAAAGAAAAAUUGCAAUUAAUGUCAUUGCUUUUAAUAGGAGUGGGAAAAGUACUCCUUACCACAUUAAGAAGUUGCAAGAUCCAACCAUAAAGGAAGUUUUUUCCAAGUGCAGGCAUGAGAUAAAGGUGCACUGUGCCAAUAAUUCUCACUACUACUGGAAAAAGUAGAAGUACUUAUUUUCUUUUUGAUCUAAAAUUUAAUGCAUUGAGGGAUAGAGAGAGAGAGAGAGAGAUUGACCGCACAAAAAUAAUUUUCUUCCCAGCGUAGUACUUUGUGAAAUUAGAAAGUAUUAUUUUGUUAAUGGAGAAAGACUUAAUUAAUAGACAGUGCUGAAUGAGAGACAUGUACAGUGUCUAUAAGGUUUCCAGUUCAUGACUACUACCAUCAUCCUGAAUUAAAUCCCUGACAGCAGGCUGGAUGCUGCACAUGACAGAAAAUUCCAUUCCGCUCCCUGAAGAGCUUAAGGUCUGAUUUAGCUCCCAUCAAAAUCAAUGAAGAUUUGCUCAUUAAGUUAAGAGAAGGGGGCUGAUUUCAUCGGUCCCAGUUCUGACUUUAGGAUCAUAGUCACAUACUGCUUUGAGUAGGCAGUUUCAGUGAAUCUAAGCCCAAGAUGACAUUCAGCAAGCUUCUUUGCAAGUGGAAUACCUACUGAAAGCACUUUUUCCCCAGUCAAAAAGAUGCUUUCAAAUGAAAAGAGUAGAAUGCUUUUGGUGUCAUUCACCGCAUCCAGCACACGCAGAGCAAGAUGAGGUGGAAGAGAUGCUGUUCAGCUUGUUCAGCCACCGGGAGCAACAGGAGAGGCCUGAUCCUGAAAGGGAUCCUUUAAUUUUUUGCAGUUCAUUUUCAAUGGAACAACAGCAGAAACUUCUCCUAGAAAUCUAUUACUGCUUACGUUUAUUGAUUUUAUUAAAAAAGGCAUGCAUAUGAUUUGCUAAUUGUGAUAUAGGUAAAUUCUUUCCCUUUUUAUAAGGAAAACAGAAACCAACUAAGGGCCACGAACUAAAUAUGUUUGCUCAUUGUUAAAACAUGUUUUGGGUUUUUUUUUUUGUUUCCAUCUGUCUGAAAAGUAAAUUGUAUUGGAGCCCUUUGUUUGUAGCAAACUAGCAGGAGGUAGGCAUUUUCAUUAAAAAUGUAGUAGCACAGAAUUCUUCAAAGAUUUUCAUGAACUACAAUCCCACAGCAUGAGAAACUGAUGUCAAAAGAAAGUGAAAUAAAUAAAUAAAUAAAUAAAUAAAGCUCUAAUAAAAGUGUAGUAGCUGUAAUAAUACUUCUUAACGUCAGGAUGAACCCAAGGUAGCUUUGUACUAAACGCUUUUUCCAGCAUGAAAGUAAAAGCUGGUUACUACUACAAAGACUUUAAAUAUUAGGCAAGGCAGCAGAUGGACACAAGCAGAUGGGAAGGAGAAUAAAGGGACAGGUCACAAAUACUGUCCAUCAGCUUGCCUGGCAGUUGUCUCAGUACACCAAGAGCUUAACUAUAGUCGUGCUUUGGGUGGCUGUGAUUAUUUAGGGCAUGACUGACUGGGUGUUUUUUGUGGUCUGUUAUAUUUUUUUAUUUUUUAGUUUUUUUAAAAUGUAAGCAUUAUUGCAAUUGAAGGUAUUAAAGCAACUUGAAGCAGGAUAAUGAAAUAGCUCUGUAGAUAUUGAGGGGGAGAAUCAAGGGCACAGAUAAUCCCACAGUGUCAUUGCUACUUUCCUCUCUAAGGAUUUGUGUCACUUUUAUACAAUCAAUAAGUAAAUAAAUGGCUUCAG